rnacentral:rRNA from 1 species
UACGGGGGGGCUAGCGUUGUUCGGAAUUACUGGGCGUAAAGGGCGCGUAGGCGGUCUGCUAAGUUGGAUGUGAAAACUCUGGGCUUAACCCAGAGCCUGCAUUCAAUACUGACAGGCUAGAGUUCUGGAGGGGAUAGCGGAAUUCCUGGUGUAGCGGUGAAAUGCGCAGAUAUCAGGAGGAACACCAGCGGCGGAAGGCGGCGCUCUGGGCCGGUACUGACGCUGGAGGAAGCGAAAGCGUGGGGAUCAAACAGG